rnacentral:misc_RNA from 1 species
UCCAAAAAAGAGCAUCUGAUAUACCUGGCUUCAGGAAAAAGAAUGUUGUAACUGAAGACCAGGUCAUAGUUAGCAAAUUAGGGAAUAGUAUCAUUAAUUAGAUAUCUAUCAACUUUAUUUGGUGUACAUAUGCAAUCUGAGCAUUACAUAUAUUAUGUUACAGUAAUAUUAUGAAGGUGGGCGACCACUGAUUCAAACUGAAGUUUGGACUAUUAGGCAUUGUAUAUCUAAACUAUAAGGGCCAUUAAAACUUCAAAAGUAAUCAAUACCACAUUCCCCAGCGCAAUAGACAUUCUGAAGAAUACCUCACAUCCUGUGAACCAGCCCUUACACUAUCAGGCCACAAGGUAAACACAAAUGGCUCACAAUUUUUUUAUAUACUAUUGAUUCUCCAACAUGAAUUCUAAACAACAUUUUUGAAGAAACAUUAGAGUAAUUAGGAGAUAUACCACCAAAGGAUAUGACCAGUUCUCACCUUCCAUCCAUCCACCUAAGACUCAAUUUCUAAAUAAUCCAUUAUAUUUGUUUGACUACUAAAACAACACUGAGUAUGAUCAUUAGUAAACCUAAUUGGAUCUAGUUGAUCAUAAUUCAUCUCAUACAUUUGAAAGAUGAAACUCAUAAAAUGAUAUUUAACAUGAAUUUAACAUAUUCUACUAGGCUGUAACCAAAUAAAUAUAAAACAAAAUAUUAAAAAGGAUAGUACCACUUGUUAGAAUCAUAAUUUUACUAGAAAGCAAAUAUGAAAAUUGAAAACUCUCAUAAGAAGAAGAGAUCUAAUGAGAAGUAAGGUAUUUUAAUUGGAACAUCAUGGCAUAUAUAAUAUGAUUUGAUCAACUGGACAAACUUUGAAGGUCUUCCUAAUUGUGCAUCAGUAAUAAAGGUUUUACUAAAGUCCUCCUCCGAGGGAAAAGCCAGGCUGCAUGGAGGAGGUGAAAUCCCCGCGUUUUCCCAUUGGUAAUCACAGUAUACUAUUUUUUUUUUUUUUUAUCAUAAGAACAGACAUGACCAUCCAAGCUUUCCGGGGCAAAAAUAAUUAUAGUUAAGAGUUAAUAAAAUAUACAACAGGCAGCAUACCU